rnacentral:rRNA from 1 species
UACGUAGGGUGCGAGCGUUGUCCGGAAUUACUGGGCGUAAAGAGCUCGUAGGUGGUUUGUCGCGUUGUCCGUGAAAACUCACAGCUUAACUGUGGGCGUGCGGGCGAUACGGGCAGACUGGAGUACUGCAGGGGAGACUGGAAUUCCUGGUGUAGCGGUGGAAUGCGCAGAUAUCAGGAGGAACACCGGUGGCGAAGGCGGGUCUCUGGGCAGUAACUGACGCUGAGGCGCGAAAGCUAGGGGAGCAAACGGG